UAAGCCAGGACUGUCUGGCUUCAAAUCUCAUGUUUUUUGCUUCCUACCUGACCAGAAACUUCUCCUUCCAACUUUUAAAACUUAAAUGGCAACCCACUCCAGUAUUCUUGCCUGGAGAAUCCCAUAGACGGAGGAGCCUGAUAGGCUACAAUCCACAGGGUCGCAAAGAGUCGGACACAACUGAGCAACUUCACUUUCUUUUCUUUCUUUCUUUUCUGGGUUACGAACAUCAUUUUGGAAUCCCCUAAAAACCACACUGGCUUUUCAGAAAGACACUAACAAUUCCCUUUUAAGAGAAAAGCUUCUCGAUCUCCAUACCUUAGCCCAAACUCUCAGUGUGCAACGGAUCAACUUAGAAGGUACCAGUGGCUUGAAAAGAGCAAGACCCUGCUUCCCUAGGGGAGGAAAGCCUGGCUGUGCUUUUGCAAAUUUCCCAGCACAGCCUCACUUUCUCAGCCUAACCAGCUCCCUGGAGUCCCCAAGAUGAAAGCUGCCAGGCUUUUCAGGGUGCUGCAUGGACUAGCUCCAAGAUUCUCGGCUCCCAGUAGGGGUGGCAACCCCUUCCUCAUGGAGCUCAGAAGUGCCCCGUCCUAUGUGAGCUCCAGGAGCACUGAACAAGCGGGAGGGUUUGGUUUGAUUCCUUACUGAGCUCAGCACCAUGGGACUUUCCAGAAGAUAUUCUUGAGUUUCAGUUCACAGCCCAUUGGAUUUCACUUCAACCUGAAAACUCACAGGGAAGGUCAGCUGAAACAACCGAGUCUGGGCACUCUCCCCUUAGAACUGUCAAUCACACUGCCGCCACCAAGGACAGGAGGUGGUGAGCCGAGGAACUCGGCCUCUCCUGACCUGGUUUACCCCAAGUGUGUGUGAGAGUUGUGGGGGCACAAGCUGGAAAGGGCAGGACUUUUCGUUUCACACCUGCUUGGGUUUUCCUUAUGAAACGUUUCCAUCAUUGACGCUGAGGUGUUUCCUUAAACCGCGACUCCACCUGAUGUAAACAGGCUGCCAAUACAGGCCCGAGUGAAUGUUAAUAACCACUUAGGGGCACUAUAUAUGGGCCAAGUACUGCACUGAGCCCUUGACUUUCAUUUUUCCACGUGAUCCUCCAAGUAAAACCCCAUGAGCUAGGUGCCAUUAUCAUCAGCAUUUAAUAGAGGAGGAAACUAAGCUAGAAACUUAGCACAACUGGGAUGUAAACCCAGAGGACUCUGAGCUCUAGAGGACAGUGGAGCCACAAGAUGGAAAAAAGCCUGGUUCCCUGAAUAACCACGUGAAGGGAAGCUGCUCACUAACCAGGAAUCAGGAAGACAGCCAGAGUUUUAGACUGCAGGUUGCUUGAUGCAACUGAUGGAUGGCCUGUGCUCCCAACCCUCCUCUGAACCCUGCCUCAACAUUACACCUACCUUGGUGCCCAGGAGCCCUGAGCUGAGAUAGUGUUGCAAAGAGAAAUUCAAUUUUUGUGUUUCCUGAGCAUUUAAGCCUAGAAAAUAUUUCUG
ensembl:lncRNA